AAGGAGAGCACUGAAGACAGAGCACCCAUCAUUCAUAGCUCUGCCGUGUUCCAAUAUAUACGAAAAGCAACGGAGAAAGUCAAAGCAAUGUGAGGUUAGGGCACGAGUGCUCAAGUAGGAGAUAACAGAUUUGCUGGAAAAGCUGCUCUUCACAUGCAGACUCUCUGGCCAAUGUCUCCCAAACACACGGAUUGUGAAGUCCUGGCAAGAGCGGACACAAGAAGCUGCCUGAAUCCACCACGACCACCCAAGAGACUCUGUGGUCACUGAUCUGUGGAUCAUACACCCACCCAUUCUCAGUUCUCGGAAAAUAUCUUGAGUGCCUAGUACCUGGGAAAACCUGCUGAAGGAACCAGACCCCGGCGUGCGUGCGUGCGUGCGUGCGUGCGUGCGUGCGUGCGUGCGUGCGUGCGUGCGUGCGUGCGUGCGUGCGUGCGUGCGUGCGUGCGUGCGUGCGUGCGUGCGUGCGUGCGUGCGUGCGUUACAAGCAGUACAGUGGUGAAUUUCUAAAACUUUUUUAAUAUUAAAAUGGCAGUUCUCAAUUAUUCUAUUUUUAAUUCAGAAGCAAAAUAUCCCUGUGUUCUAAUUUAUUUCUCACUGAGGAAGAGAACGUCUAAGCAGCUCCUUGGGUCCGAGCCCAAGGCCAGCCUUCAUGGGCACUAGCAGGGGCUGGAAGUAACUGACAGCCAGAGAAUGAGUGCCCCGAGGCUGGCUCUCCGCAUGAGGCCCUGGCAUUUCCUGCAUGCCUGCCACCCCUGGAAGCAUGGGAGAAAUGAAGGCCAUAACUAGUAAUCACAAAGGGCAGAGACAAGAACAAAAGGAAGCCACUGCCAUUGCUCACAGGUAUGGGUGGAAGAGGCACAACUCCCCUGUGCCAUCCUUUGUAGCCUGAGGAAUUCCCUUAGAGUUUCAUGGACCUCAGCUCAGGGCAAACCAGGAUGUAUUAGUCAGUUUAUGAUGCAGAUUUGCAGAUUAGAGGUAUUUGAAACAGGUUCUUUCAAGGUGUAUUUAUUUUACACACACACACACACACACACACACACACACACACUGUAGCUGUCUUCAGACACACCAGAAAAGAACACCAGAUCCCGUUACAAAUGGUUGUGAGCUACCAUGUGGUUGUGAGAUUUGAACUCAGGACCUUUGGAAGAGCAGUCAGUGCCCUUAACCUCUGAGCCAUCUCCCCAGCCCGUGAAUACAUGUUUAAACAGGAUAAUUAAGAUAAAAAGAUGUGCUCAGAAGGAAAGUAAGACAACCCUGGUGUGGAUGUGGGUUCAAGGGAGAGGCACAGCACUUUGUUUUUCUAACAGUCAUAUGUGCAAUUUAGGGGGGUGGACGGUGGUUAUCACCAUCUCAUUGGUAGCUACCGAGGAGAACGGGGUGGGACACAUGUCUUUAUUGUAAGCACAGUUCGGCUUUGAGAUCGUUAGCAUGCUGCUUGCUUACUUUGACGUAAAAUUGGCACAAGCUAGAAUCAUUUCCGAAGUGGUAACCACAAAAGAGAAAAUAUUCCCACUACACUGAACCGUGGGCAAGCCUGUGGUGCAUUUUAUUAACUGAUGUUUGAUGAGAGAGGGUCCAGCUCACUGCAGCUCCCCCAUGGUCUCUUCAUCAGUUUUGCCUCCUGUUUCCUGCCAGAGUUCCUGCCCUGACGUCCCUCAGGGAAGAACUACAAACUGAAAUAACCCUUUCCUCCACAAGCUUCUUCUGGUCAUGGUGUUUCAUCACAGCAACGGAGACUCUAACUAAGGAACUCAGGCAAUGUCUGGGGAAAGAAACCAGGCCCUACCCAAAGUCAUACACACUUAGCCUGGUCACUGAUUUUAACACAAACUGCCUACCCACACACACACACACACACACACACACACACACACACACACACACACACACACAGUGAAUAUUAACUCUGUGUUGGCUGCCUUUACAACAUAUACUAAUUAUGCUGGAGUUCUUGCUCCUCAGACAGACUCCAGAAAGACAAGCUUCCUUCCUCUCUAAUGUCCUCACGACUUCUCUCUCUUUCUUCACUCCUCAAGAAGCCCAAGGUAAAAGACUUUUGCAAAGCACAGGUCCUCAACCCUUCUCUCUACUGUCUGCGGCUGAACUCGGCAGCUGGAAAUCUCGCACCCCUGCAACAUUUCACCAUGCAUUUUCCCAUCGGGAAUACUCAAACUUCUACCACCCUGGGUCAGUACUCGUCCGACCGCUUCUUGAGGUACAAAUUUCAGCAAGCUUUUCCACAUGGAUGAGACACAGAGCCAGGGUGGCAAUGACAUUCAGCGGAGACCAACACACCUACUGCUAUUUGUCUUGGCAGUGGACUCCAGGGAGUCGCUUAUGUCAUGUGCCCACAGCCUAUUUUCAGUAACUCAUUACCUGAAAAUGGCAUCCUAACUAUGCAGGCAGUCAUGCAUGCACAUGCACUCGUGUGUGCUGCACACCGCAUAACCAGCAGCUUCCAAGUACUUCAGAAAAUGAUAAAUACAAAGUGUUCAAUCAAUGUGGGAGAAAACAUGUAGGCACUGAAAGUUUUUUGUUUGGUUGGUUUGUUUUUUUUUGUUUUUUUUUUUGUUUUUCCUAUUUUCAUCUGCAGAUUAAGAAGGUCCAGGGAAGAAGCAGACACUGAAGAAAUACAGCAGCUGGGUAGCCCGCAGAAGGGCGCAAGCCACUCACCUCUGAGACAACUACUCCCGUUAUAACCCAAGGACGCAGCCUCACCAUCAUGGAUAAUUGUUCUCACUUGCGGGCUAGCCCUGGAAUUCAAGGUGACUUUUGGCUUAUGGGGCGGAGAGAGGUGGAAAAUGGAGGAGAAGACCAUUAUGAAUUGUCUGGGUGUCUGGAAUCGGACACUGUAAAAAUUUACCCGAAGACACCUCAAUUCCUUAUAAAUUUGUUCUUCGGUAUCAACGGAUGAAGAAUGCUCUACUCUCUCUCUGUAGUUAACAGGUCAUAAUGAACAGGUGGCUGACCCAAAGCAAAGGGGACAGAUGCAAAAUGAAACUGAGAUGCCACUCUAUUUCUGGCUUUUAGUUAUACUAUGGGCUCAGACAAGCAGCCGAUGCCCUUCGGCAAAAGGGAUUUCCAAGUUCCUAUUGGGACUUUACCAAAACUACAUUUCCUCAAGAGCAAGAAAAGCACUAUGUAUUCCCUUCUGGAUGCUGCAGUUUACGGUCACUAGCCAGCUCAGAGUCAGCACACAGGAAACCUGCCACCAAGUAUACACAGCAGAAAAUGUCACAUGUCACAUCACAAGUAAUACACAUAAACUGUCCUGUCAGGCAACUGAAGAAAGGGCAUAAAUGUACCUAUUGACAAGGGACCCCAAAGAACUAAAAUGUCCUCAGGAAUCCCAUGCUGGAGGGAUGGAAGGAUAGACCUUUGUGAGAGCCAACAUUAUGUUUUUAAGUUUUAAUUAUUGUUCCUAAGAGACCUAUGAAACAAAAAUGCCUCUACCUUGUCAGCCCCUAGUCCAAGGACAAACACUUCCUGAAAUGCUGAAGGCUAUUGUUUAUGGGAGAUAACAAGAGGAUGUGCUCGAUCACGUGUGGGUGGGAGAUAUGUAGACAAGAAAUAUGUCAGGAUGUAUGCUUAGCCCCUGAUUGGAUGUAGGCAGGAGGUACACAGGCAGGAAAUAUGUCAGGAUAUAUGCUUGUCCCUGACUAGACCUGAUGGGAAAUACAGUGGCCUUGUGGGACUGCCUUUUCAAGCCACUGCAAGGUGUGACUCAUGGCCAUUUUCUGGAAACCCAGAGAAAGGCAUGGCCAGAGAGACCAUCAACCUGGCCAGCUUAAUGAAAGCUUGCUUCAAAUUUGACUUAAAGCUGUGAUAAUGGUCUUUUUCUCAAACAGUGGGUUAACACCCGAGUGCAGCACAGAGGGCAGUUCAUAAGACCACCUAGCAAGACAGACCCGAAACUAAGAAAUGAUAGGUCAAUGGUGGGCUGACCAUGAACUUGGAGAUCACUGGGCCCUUUUACUCAUCGUUCUUCCCAAUGUAGACAUCUCCUCUCUGUGCUUCUCACCAGUACUCCUCUCUCUCCAACUUUUAAAUGUAGGACCCAGUGUUGUAUUUAUAUUGGAUCAGAAUUGACAACAUUAUCAGUUCAUAUUUUUGUUACAGCUUAUACAUUUUAAUCAAAAGAAAUAAAAGGGCCAGACACAAUACAAUGCCAGAAAAACAAGCUAGAAGGUGGGGAAAGAGGAGGCUUUUCUUAAGGAUAGCAUUGGAGGAACCAGGCUCCCCAAACAUGGGGGGGGGGGGGACGGACGCCUAUUUUCUUCAAGGAAGGAAAUGAUGAAUGACAGCUUUUCACCCGGAAGGCUGGAGUAAAUGUUGUCUGGCAACCUGGCAAUCCUUAGCUAUUCUAUUAGGAGCAAGCCUCCACCUUAAUCCUCUCAAUAUCCGGGAAAUUAUUUAGGCCCUAAUACUGGGCUUUGUUUCUCAAUAAGUAGAAUCAUCCCUUUUAAAAAGGCCCUAGCCUAGAGCUCUGUUUAUCAGCCAAUAGAAAUCAUUCUUAUUGUAAGGUAGGUACUUUGUUACCUUGCUAGGGAGUUCUAUUGUAGCUAGGACUAAAACUUUGUUGUGAGAACUGUCACAUUUGGAAUCCCUUUCCCAAAGAUUUAUUAUGCUUAAAUGCAUAAAAAGAAUAACCACAAAGUCAAUCUCCACGAGAUUCUGACCCAGGGCCUGCAAGGAUGGUCUUGAGUUUCACUCCUGCACCACCUCCGCUCCGGCUGAGAGUCUCUCAGGAAUCCCAGACAAGAGCUAGAUUGUCCAAGUGUGUAAUCAGUUAGCUGUCUAGAGUUCAAAAAACACUCUCAGGAAGGACAAGACAUUUCUAAUGUUAGAAAGUACCCUUGAAGAGGUCUCGCUCAACCUGUGUGGUCCAAAUGCCAAUCUUGGGUUUGUAAUCUUCCAAAAACAGCCUUGUACCCUGUCCAGUGACAGUUAAAUGGAUUAAAUUACUUCAACCACAACCUCAGGAAAAUACUUUGGGGGAGAGGAAUACAAACAAACAAAAUACCAAACGUCCUCUAUGUAAAGCAGGCUCCAUUUUCACACCAGAGAUGGCCUAAGAAAACAGUAAGUCAUUUCCAGGAACUUCUAAACUCUCCUCGAUCCAUCGAAGGCCCUGCAAAAGGCAUCAAAACAGCCCAGGGCUGUGGUCACUGGACAACACGGCUUUCUCUAGACAGGUAGGAUGCUCAACAGAGCUCACAGCAGGCUCUGAACACACACUAGUGUUGCUAAACAUAGAACCACAGAACGGGAGAGCUUCCUCAGGCAACUCCCACAGCACUCUGUUAAACCACUGUGCAUCCUGGGAAGGGUCCAGGUACACCUAGACUCCAGAGCAGCACAACUUAACCGCAGAAGCUGCAACCUCCAACAGUCAUGAGGACUCCACCUGUAGCUCCUACGGUUAAAAAAUUGUUUAUUUUGUUCAUCUUCCAUCACUGCAGUGUAAACACCCCAAUACAAAUGCAGCAAGUGCACUGGGCUGGAGCCCAUGAAUUCACACUUCAAGCGAAAUUCCGUUACAUGGAGACCAAGUAGCAGUGAACCUGCAGCACCCAAAUAGAAGCCAGACCUGGUUCAAGUGGUCACAGUAAGAAAAGAAAUGAAAUAUCUCAUAACGAAGUUUUAGUACAGCCAACCCACUGAAAUGGCACUUUACACGUAAUCAUUGGAGUGAAAACAUUCCUAAUACUAGUCUAACUCACUUCUUUUAUUCUUUUUAAGCAGCCACAGGUUUUGUUUGACUUCUUGGUUAGUGUGAUGGUUUCUAGGUGACACUGGGGAUCCAAACCAAGACACUGUGCAUGCUGUGCACGAACCCCACCACUGCCCAUCUGCGGUUUUCUUCACUUGGGAUCUCAUGCUGUUGUGCAAGCAAGCCUUAUGCAUGCACAUAGUAUACAAUAGGCCAAUCCAGUCUCGCAUUUGCCUAUGCAACCAUGUUGCUUGUUUGUACACGGACCCCUUCGGUGGUUUGUGAAGCCUAUGGGUACUGCUCUAAAUAACAUUUAUAAAUAAGUAAAAUAAAAUGUAUAAAAGAACAAAGGAAAGCAAUUAUACUGAAAUAUGGCUUUUAAAGUACUUGUAAAGUAUAUUUAUAAUAUAGUAAUGUAUUUUCUUAAGAAAAACCCUGAGGAAUCAUAAAAUUGGGACUGGAUAACUACUGCUAUCUCUAGCUAGAAAAUAAAAGCAUGAGAGAUUCUGGGCAUGGUGAUAUAUGCUUGUAAUGCCAGCAUUUGAGAGGGAGAACAAUCAGGAGUUCAAGGCCACCCUCUGCUAUAUUUUAAGUCUGAGAAUAGCCUGGGCUACAUGUCAACCUGUUUUGUUUGUUUGUUUGUUUUAAGUAUAAACAAUACUAUAAGAUAUUUAAAAAUCUAAGAGUCCUGCUGAUGACCCGGUGGUGAAUGCUGCUUAUCCCAUACUGUGUAUACUCAUAGCUGAGAGGAAGCCCAAGUUCACCUGAGUGUUACUGAAGCUAUGGAUAGAAUGUUUCCUCUCCAAAUGGAUGGCUCUCCUAAUUUCUAUCCAUGGGAUACUUGGGAGAUUCUGUCACGGGUGCCUCUUUCCCUGGGGCCCUGUCCUAUUGAUCAUUCAGAGCUCUGGACUUUGACCACAGCCAAACCAAUGUAAGGGAAGAGCUCGCCCCGGCCACAUACUUUUGUUCUGCCAAACAAACAGGAAGAACUUCCAGAGCAGUAGAUUUGAAAAGAAAAUGUUUACAGCAAUAAGCAAUUAUUUAAAUCUAUGUGACUGACUUGUGUGCUAGAAUAUUUAGUAAGCAAGCAGACCACAUGAAUAUCACUGGCGUAUAAUGCUCACGGUUUCCAUCUGCAAUCUCUUGGGUAACGCUGCGUGCCAGGUGCCGUUCAGAGGAAUGCAAGUACACCUCUUUAAUCCCACCUUAAGAGCUGCAUAGUAUCAGCUAUUCCCUGGUCAUGGACCAAACAACUAAGGCUCAAAGAAAGGUUAAGUUCAAGGUCAUGAGACUGGAUUCUAGCAGAAACCAGCUGCCUGUGAUUUUCUCAAGAAGCAGGUAACACCUAGUAAGAACCUAAACCCUUGGACUACUUACUGCUAGGAACCUUCCUUCCUGCUUCCAAAUUGCUCAGGGGGAGGUAUGGAAGGCUUCCUCAUACCCCCUUACCUAUUCACAGACUAGCCAAUUAAAGAGAGCAGUGUUCUUUGUGAGGAAAGAUUAACUUUCUCUGGUUAUCUCGGACCUGGUAUUUUUUUUCCACCUUAUCUAGAGUUAUGUUCCAGGAGCCUCUCAAGCCAGUGAUAAGGCAAGUUUCGACUUUACCAUACCAGUUAAGAGAGAUUACACACAUAUUUGGGGCUUAAGCAGGGGGGAAAAAAAAAAAAAAGAACACAGAAACCUUAGUCCCUCUGCAUCCUGUCACUAUUGACACAGCGUUGCUAGGGAGAGCAAACUUUGGCUGAGUUAAAGAUAGAGCAGUAAGGUUCCUUAGGGGAACCAGCCCUACAGGUGUAUCCAGGGAGGCAGGGGUAGCAGCCACAUUCCUCUCCCAACACUGAACAAAUGAAGGUUUGUCUGUUGUGCAAGGCUCAUGGGGCCUGACAAGCCUUCUUUAGACAAGAACUUCACAACACAGGGGCACUUGAACAAGCCGUGCCUCUAAUGAGAAAAAAAUAAAAUAAAAAAUGACUGCCAAAUGGGAAGAGAAAGGAGAAAAAUUCUGCAACAGCAUUCAUCUAGAAAGAACCCUGGUUAGGAAGGAUGAUAGUCGAUGCACGUUUGUGACUUUACGCCGCCCUCUGUAAAACUGGACAACUUUAAAAGCUUCACCUCAGCUGUGGGACACGGCAUCCCUCUCUGAAGUGGCGGCAUCCCGAUAGUAGCUGUAAUACUAAAUGAAUUCAUUUCCUUCACCACCACUCAACCUCAACCACUGCUCUCCAACCUAAUGUCAGGGGCAAAAAGUCAGGCCUCUGAGGCCUGGAUCACUCUCAGACUAACAACCUUGUGGGAAUAACCUAAAACAAAAUAUUUUUCAAGAUUUUAGGUAGUAGAGUUUUGGGAGCAGAUGAGAUUUGAGUUUGCAUUCAGGUUUCUGAAAACCUCCGAAGGCCUUUGUUUCCCACGGUUUUCCUCAGAAGCUAGUUGGGGGUGGGGAGGACACACAGGUCCUAGGCAGAGAGUGACCUCCAUUACGAUCACUCUGAAAGAAAGCUAGGCCAACCUCGGGCUACAUGGCAGAGCUCAGGUAUUAACAGUAUGUCGUAGGGUGCAUACGCUGUAGGUGGCACACGCCAGACCUGUUGCUUCCAACCACAUAGGAAGUGAGGCUAAAUGAACAAUGGCUAUCUCCACGGUGAAGCAGAAGUGGGCUUGUGUGACAGACACAUGGGUGUACAGGAGGUGUGCUAUGCGUAAGGACACUGACUCUGGACUAAACCACACUUCAAAUGGCAACCCUCUUAAAUAGUAACUGAGUGAUCUCAGCCAAAUUACUUAAACAGGUGCUGUCUUGGUUUCCUCGCCACUAAAUAGACUUCCCAACUUACAGGGCAGUUCUGAGAACAGAAAGAACUGAGGAUGCCCACGUAUUCAGAACAGAAACUGACACAGGGAACAGCCCUGGAAUUCUCUAAGUCAGACUCCGCAAGGAUAUACUCAGAGCGCUCCUUUUCCUGUCUCCUAGCCAGACUUCUGGAAUGUUCUGCUCAUCAAGUAAAAGUGAGUAGGAAAGUGCUCAGAUGAAGGUACCUAGGGUGCCACCUUGCACUGGGUUUCCUGAGACUCAGGAACAUGGUACAACAACCUGGGUGUCAGGGAGGGAAAGCCUUCUCUUCCCAGCAAAUGCCCCUCAACUUCUCUCCAAAAAUGACUGGGCUGCUUAUUUUUCUUUCGAUCUCCAUUUUUAGUUCUGGAAUUGCAAGGUCACUUUUCAAACACCAGCGUGACAACCACGGGGCUUUGCUGUGCCUCCCUAAGUCGCUCAGCAAUUGUAGGAAAGGGGAAAAGGACAGCAGCAACCCUGGAGCUGCCAGUCACAAUAUUUAUGCAGCCGGCGGGGCCUUUGUUUUGCUUUCAGUGGAGGAUGCAGAGACCUGACAAAGGAAAAAUAAAACAGCCAAGCACCAUUUCCUUUUCUGCUGUCCUGUGUCAAAGGCAGACACAUCCACAGCAUCCCAGGGCUCAAGAUGUCCUUCAAAACAUGCACACACUCAAAUAGACAGCAAUCACACAUGGCGGCUCCAGGAAGGAUGCACGGGUUCCGACCUCAUAUACUCUCAGUGAAAUAACUGUUUCCGUGAAAAUUAAAAUGAAACACAUACUGGAGUAUUAUUCCACAGCAGUAAAAUGGGCAAAGAGCUUAUCGGUCCUGUGACAAUGAACAAGGCCGCAACUAAGGAAGCACACUGGGCGAGGGUGCAGGGCUUGUAACCACUCUUGAGGAAUUGCAAAUGCUUUCCAUCCUGCUAAAAGAAACACUGAGGCUCACAGAGACUAAAUGUGCCAACCUCACAUAUCUUAGCACUUGGCAUUUGGACCACAGGGUGCUAGAGUCCGAAGGCUGAGAUCCUGACGCAAACACAGCCUCAGUCAUCUUAUGGCCGUCCUUCGGUGGGAGGCCUUAGGUAAAUUCAGACUUCUUAAACUCCAAAUCUCAAUCAUUUCCUCAGUCAGUCAAUCUCUCUCUUGUUCUCUCUGUGUGCACGCUUCCUCACGCACACUAGGUUCAAACCAUGGCUUUGGACAGGAGAGGCAAGCUACCCCUGAGCUAUGCCCCCAGCCUUUAAAGCACACAUCUCUUUAGACGGAUAAAAGUAAAUGGUGUCCAAGACCUGGGGUGUGGAUCAGAAAGAGAGGCUGGCCUAGUAUGAACCAGGGCCUGAAUCUAAUCUCUAGUCCUGCCCACCCCACCCCACCCAAAAAAAAGUUGUUUUAAAAAACGAAAUACAAUAAAUCAUCCCUACUAAGGAUGCUGGAUAGUGGAAAUGAGGAUGGUGCCGGUGGGCCACGAGGUAGAACCACAGUGAGGCAUGCUUUGCAGGCUAUGGAACUUUCUACUGGAAUUGGAGAAAUGCCCAGUGUCCAGUCAGCACUACAAUCCCAUCCAGGCUAGACCCCAGAGAAACAAGCAUGCAGGUAUACGCCAAUACCAUACUCUUUAUUUCUAACAUUCCCAAACCACAUACAACAUAAUGUCCUCCAACUAGAACACAUGAGGCUGGAGACAACUCAGUCAGGAAGUGCCUGCCGUACAAGCCCAAGGACCUGAGCUUGGAUCUGUGCCCCUGUAAAAGGCCAGCUGCAGCAGCAGACAUCUGUGAUGGCAGCAGGAAGACUCCUAGGGCAAGCAUCAAGAGACCCUGUCUCACAAAGACAGCAACUGAGGAAGAUACCAAACAUCAACUUCUGGCUACCACACCCAGGUACAGACAUGCGCGCGCGCGCGCACACACGCGCACGCACACACACACACACACACACACAAUGUAGAGCACAUAAAGAAAUGUAAACAUACGCAUGCUACAAUUAUCCACAAAUUAAGAGACUGAUCUGAGCCUGCAUGCUACACUGAAAACAUCAAUAACACAGUAAGAAUUAAAAGCCAGGAAUAAAAGAAUCCAUGCCAAAUUCAUCUGUCCAUAUAAACUUUCAAAGCUCAUAAAACUUACCCACCACUGAGGUUGGGGUCAGAAUGGUGGUUCUAAUUCAUGACGAGGGGUGGAGCCAAGAGUGGACCGCAUGGUUGCUGUCAGGUCCUCCUUGAGCAGAUGUCACUGACCCAGGUGGGUUGACUGUGCUAUGUCAUCUCUGAUGUAUGUCAUCAUAAUGUGACUUCCCUCCCAUGUUUAAGACUCAAAGAAAGAAAUUCAAUCAAACUUCACCGUCUAAAUGGAGUUCUUAAGACAAGCGUAAGGGAAACGGAGCACAAUCUCAGGUAUACUAAAACUAGCCCAGGCCAUGUCACCACAGGCAGACCACUGUGGAGAGACAGACUACUUCAGUCUUCAAAGCUUAGCUUGGCACUAUUUUAAACUAUGUUUAUAGCAAAUAAAGACCUACUUAUUGUGGCAUCAAAGGGGCAAAUGUGCAAUCCAUCUUGAGAAAAGCCUUCUAGACAGAGUGCUUAAGGUUUAUCGCACCAGCAGGCAGUUAACUGUCUGACACAAAACAGCCUCACUCUGAUUAGGAGCUGAGCACUCUGAGACAGCCACUAAGGAAAGCAGAGGAUACAGCCUGAGCGCCUGGAGCCUGACGCAGCUAGACUUAUUUCCAACGGUCAGAGAGGAAGCGACAGCAUUCCAGGUAAUUUGGCACAUAUAUUUAAGGUAAAAAGCCAACGCCCAUGGUCCUAGGGAGGAAAGUACACAUUCUGUCCCUUGGCUAUUAUAGGCAGGAUAUCGUUGUUUUGACAACUACCAAGGCACAAAUAACAUUUCCAUUUCUGGAAGUUUCUGAAGGGCACAGUGGCCAAAGGUACGGAGAAGUCUGAAGUAGCUUGAUUCUCUACCUCCUCCAUUUGGUUAAUUUCGAAAAUAUUUCAAACUUACUGUGUUCAGAUGUUCCCUGAUCUCUCUUCCAGUUCAUCACGUUCCCUACAUUUCUGCUGUGUUACUGUGUGUUUUCUUUACAAAAAUUAUUCGAUUCGUAACAAUGUAUCACUCCUUUGUCCAUAAGAAUACAUCAAUGCAAAGUACAAUGUCUGUGCAUAAUGAGUAUUAAUAAAGGCCUGGUAGGUAAGAAACGAUGUGUUCCCUCUCCCUCUUUCCUUUCUUUGUCCCAUUGUCUUUAUGAGACAGGGUCUCCAGCCCAGAUUGGUUUCAAGCUCACUAUGAAUUUGUGGAUAACCUCGGAAGUGAGUUCUGCUCACCCUGCCUCCACCCAGCAUUCUAGUCAAGUAUUACCAUUACAGGUGUCUGCCAUCAAACUUUACACAUGCUAGGCAAGUACUUCAUCAUGUGAACGAUAUUUCCUCUUCCUAGAUUCUCUUUUAAUACCAAAAAUCGGGCUGUAGAGAUGGCUCAGUGGUUAAGAUGCCUACUGAUCUAACAGAGGAUCGAGGUUUAAUAGCUACAACCUGUAACAGGCAGUUCAUAGCAGCCUAAAACUCCUGUUUCCAGAUGAUCAAUUCCUCUGGCCUCUAUGGGCACCUGCACACAUGUAGCAGACAUAAUUUUAUGCAGACAAACAAACUUGCUCAUGACUCCAAAAAAAAAAUUCUUUAAUAUCAAAUCUAACAAAUCGUUUUAUGUUCUUCUCACACAAGUAACCAUAACCCUAUACUUUUUGAGACUGGUCUAAACUUGUUCCAGAUGGGGGUUUUUGCCAGUUAAGCCAGUUUUCCUGAGCCUGGACCCCCGCUGAGGAAAAGCUCCCCGAGAGGCCAGCAGAGAUAAGAAAGUGAUGUCUAGACUAUCCUGCUUAGCUUUCUGAAAUUCUCCAGCUGUUUCACCAAACCUCUACAAUCCAGUCAGAGUUCACAUUUCACGGAUUCCUCAAAAGGGUUUUGACAUCUGUGAAGAAGAGAUCUGAGGGAGGGUGGACAGUUAUAUCUCUGCCUCUAACCAACCAACACAUACAACAACAUAAAGAAGAGGGACAUGUCCCUUCUGGUCCUUUGUUCAUCAAGCGAGAAGGUGCUCUGUCCCAUGGAACAACUCUAAGGGAGAAAGGAACCUAAUUAUGUUAAUUACAGCAUUGCAACCUAAAAUCCACAGGGACUAAACCACCAAAGUUCGAAGCUGGAAUUAGACAUUCCAUCGUCCCCAAAUAUACCUACUACUUCCAUAAUGUAGAGUUACCCAGGGAGGAGGCUUCUCACCCUUCACCCAUCUUAACUCCCCCAAUCCAUCUGGUAAGCACCCCCCCCUUGUUUCUAUAUAAGUCACCAUUUUUGUUCCUACAGAGCCACAAGUAAAAAGACUACAGAGAAGACAGGUUUGGUGGCACAUGCCUCUAAUCCCAGCACUCUGGAGGCAAAAGCAGGUGGAUUUCUGAGUUUGAAGUCCUCCUGGUCUACAGAGGGAGUUCCAGGCAGACAAAGCUACACAGAGAGACCCUGUAUCCCAACAAAACAAACAAACAAACAAACAAACUGCUGAGAAACGAGUUCAAACGCCAAAAUCACACAUAUUUCCCCCCUCUGUGCUUACUGAUAAUAACAGGUAAGCCUGACUUUCUGCACCUUCUACAAGUUCCUGGUGGGCAAAGAUUCAUCUGUCUCAGAAGAGUCUGACUGGCAGGGACGCAAACACUAAUAGGCAAGCUGGAUGAGUGAGUGAACUAAAGUCCCAUUACAUUUUAAGCUACCAUGAAACCCUAAAACAAUCUUUUCCAUUUCCAUGACGCCAUGCUUUCAACUACAGGAAGGAGAUCAGGAGCAUUCGCUUUCCCAUCCGAUGGUGUCCUCCUGCAGCAGGCUACCUCCAUUUGCGGAAAUGCAUCAGAAGUUGCGUAACAGACUGACUAUGAAAUAGCCCAACAGGUUUGGUCCCUGCUGCUCAGACAGAUUGUUUUGGUACGUUGGAGAAACUGGAAGGUCAAAUGGUAAGCUUCUGAAUCAGUGAAAACCCCUUUAUUAAAAAAUAAAAUGAAGUAAAAUAGGCAGUGAUGGAAGAAAAUCCCUGGUGUGCUUUCAUGGCCUCCGUAUGCGCAUGGACAUAUUUAUCAAAAGACCCAAGUGUAUGCACCACCCAUAUAGUACCACCACCAGCACCCCAAAAUUAAGUAGUCUCUGUCCAGUGAAAAGAACUAUUCAACAUAAAUUUACAGAAAGUACGACCUACCCACAAUGCAUUUCCCAACGGUCUUUGAAUGUAUUCCGUUCUUUAUCCCGCCCCUUCCUAGGUUGUGACGCUGCUAUUAUUUUCGGCUUGGGUUCCUUGGGCAACAAUGGGCAAGUAAGUUAGUUAAAGUGAACUGUACUGUACGCCGUCAGCAUGGAAAACGUGACCUGGACCAGGAAGAUUCCUUAUACUAACAAGGAAAUGUAACGAAACAAGCAAAACUAUGCACUGAACAAUAAUAUGUGCAUUCAUCUAGGCGACCAACACCCUGCCGUGCUGGGAGCCUCAGAACAUAGCAAGGAUGGAGAUACUGGGUGGAUAUGAGCUUCAAGGGAACCCUGCAGAGGACAGUGGUCCUUGUACUUGGUCCAGUCAGCAGCCAAAUUGGACAGACAACGACAUUCAUUCCUACCAUUUUACAUGCCACAAAAGUCAACCUUUCAGUAUGGACUGGCUUCAUCACUCUUCUCCCAACCUUCCUGUCAGAGUCCCUUUAGUAAACUUUCUGCAGGACAAACAUCACGAAGGUCCCGUUCUACUCAGGAACAAAGGAGCGUCCAGCAAAUUGCUUGGUUAGCACUAAACAUUUGGGAUCUACCUGAGCAAUCAGCUCAGUGGUUUGAAAAGGUGUUUCUCCAGUUGAGACAGCUUCCAUGAGUGGAGUCGAGAAGCUCUUUUUCUCCCGUUUUAUUCCAGUGGUUACAGGAUAAGGAGUGAAGCGGGGUGGGUUUGCUUGAUCUAAUAGGCAGAUCCCUGAGCUGUGUUCUUCAGAUACAGUCAAGGCCUUCCAAAUCUAUUUGAAAGGUGACACUUGCUCGAACAUAAAGCCCACUAGAGAUGGGAACAAUGGCAGGACCGUCACUGGAGCCCAAGGGUUCAAAGCCAGCCUGGGUAACACAGCCAGUCUCUAAAAGAGAAAGCUAAGAAAAAAGUGUGUGUUUGGGGAGUUGGGGUGGAGGGGGAUGAAAAACGUCUAAAUGUCCAUUAGAACUUGAGGGAAGACAAACCACUGGGGAGCUGAGGUGUGGUACCCCUGCAUGGAGAGAUCAUAACUGCCACCAACAUCGAGGAAAAGAAAAUACCCACCAAAGAAAAGGGCCCGUUGUCAAACCACCUUGAAGUUCCCAACGUGGCCUCAUAUCCCUGAUCAGGAAGUAAACAGAAGAAAGCAGGGGCUCCACGUGAGAGGACUGUCCUUGUACACCCCCAUUUAAAAAAAAAAAAAAAGGCCUCCUGUGCUGGUUUGAAUAUGCUUGACCCAGGGAGUGGCACUGACAGGAGGUGUGGCCUUGUUGGAGGAAGUGUGGGGAAGGGCUUUGAGAGACCUCCCUCUUAACUGCCUGAAAGCUGUCUUUUCCUGGCUACCUACUGAUUCAGAUGUAGAACUCUCAGUUCCUUCUCCACAGCCAUGUCUGCCUGGACACUGCCAUGCUCCAGUCUUGAUGAUGAUAUGGGACUGAAUCUCUGAAACUGUAAGCCAGCCCAAUUAAAUGUUGUCCUUUACAAGAGAUGCCUUGGUCACGGUAUCUUUUUAAAGUAAUGGAAACCCUAACUAAGACACCUCCCCAAGGCCCUAUCUUCAAGGCUCCUUGAACUGUCAAGGCCUCACCUGGGUGUACCUGGCUCUGGCCAUAAGGAUCCUGCCUUUGACUCCUACUGCUUUCCACACUCCUGGUUACUUAACAUUUACCCAGCUAAGGAUCCUGUGAAGCAGCUGUGUGUCUUCCUCUCCUGAAACACAAUCCCUAAGCAUCCUACAAAUCCUUAGGCUUAACCAGGAUUCACUUUCAGAGGAUUACCCCACGUUUGUCUUUCAAUGGAGCCCUGCCAUUAAACUGGGCUUCCAAUGGUCCUCCCACCUCAGGUUCCUCAGAAAUCCACCAGCAGGCUUGCUCCCAUGCUCCACUCUCUUUCCCAUCCAGACAAGUCAGCAGUGAACCUGGAGUGCUCUGCGGUUUAGGAGUUCUCCCGAUAUUAAAAGAUCCAUCUCCUGGACAUUCAGGCCAUACUAGAAAGGAACGGGUUUUCAAAUAAUAAACACUUUUGGAAACUACCUCCAUCAAACUCCCCUCCUUCUGAGUGCUGAUACCAAGGCCUGCCUCCCAGAGACAACCGGGGUUGGCCAAGGCCCCAAGGCAUAAUUAUCCUUGCUCUAAGCCCUUCCAAAGAGCCCAGAACCAACUGCAUGUAUUUUUCUUAGCUGAGAAACAGAUGUAGAGUGCAAACGAUUUUCCACUGAAUACCUUUGAAACAGAUGCAGCUAUGUGGUAAGCGCUCCCCUGCCCAGAGCAUCCACUGUCAACAGAGACCGACACAGGAACUCCAAGGCUCCCGUCAAUCAGCACUUAUGAAAACUUCUACCGUUUGUAUCCACUCACAGUUCAGUCAUUAAAAGUGCUGCUUCUCCUAUUUCACCGGUCCCCGGUUUUACGAACUCAUUGUAUGUAAUUAGAUGUAUUACAAGUGAACGGUUUUAAGUAAAAACUGAUAUGUCUAUAAAGUACAGACACAGAACCAGCUUCAUAAAAAUAGGUAACUUCUAAAAGCAAAGGGUUCCAUUAAAAGCUGGACUACAUUAUGUUAGCAGAGCAUAAAAGCUUCUUAAAAUUAAUAUACUUAUUGUGUGUGUGAGACAUGUGAUGUGUGAAAAGGAGGAGGUGUGCACGUAUCACGUCACAGGUGUGGAGGUCAGAGGGCAAUUUUAUAGAGUUGGUCUCUCCUUCAACCUUUAUGUGGAUUUCGGGCUUGCAAUGUCUAGCAUCUUGCAGCCUAAGCCAUCUUACUAACCCCUUAAAAGCUUAUUAACUACCUGAAAGAGACUUCUCUGGGAUAAUUUCAUAAGCAGAGAAUUUAUGGAAAAGAAUCUGAAUGGAAAAAGGAGUAAAGACAGCCCCCCCCCCAUCUUUACAGCAUGAGGUACACACCAGAAGCAGAAAAUGGUAUCACAGCAACAGCUUAUGCCCUAAAGAAACGCCUUCUCCCGAAAUGCCCCACUUAAGAUGGGAGUAGAAUCCACUUCUUUGUUCCCUAACCUUUUUCCCAGCAAACUGGGAGUUCUCUAGCACCUCAGAGGUGAAGCAAGUAACAAACUCUCUAUUAAAACACCCCCUUGGGCUGGGGAUUUAGCUCAGUGGUAGAACGCUUACCUAGGAAGCGCAAGGCCCUGGGUUCGGUCCCCAGCAUCGAAAAAAAAGAACCCAAAAAAAAAAAAAACACCCCAAGGUGAUUCUAAUCCAGCUAGAUCAGCCAGAGCCCAACAAGAAGACUGGAGCUGGAAACUGGGUGUCAGGGAAGUCAUUUUGGCAAGAUACAGGACCAAGCAAAGCAAUUGACCUUUGAGAACUCAAGGUCAUGCCUUAAAGGGAAAGUGCAUGGGUGUGUGUCCCUGGUGUCACAAUUCAGAUGCACAAGCUUUCCAACUGCGAGAGCCUCUGCCACCUUGCAUACAAAUCCUUCACUCUGUAGAAUGGGACUAAAAAAGAGAGUCAAGUAUGCACAUCACUAGAGACAAAUAUGGCGGACCGGUGACUCAGCUGCACAGUGGGCAGCAAGGAAGCACCAACUUAUUCAUGUGUGAAAGUGAUCUGAAGGCUGAUCUGAAGAACAAGGAUGAGGGACAAAUGUAGUAGGCAGAGUGGCGGGGACAUAGCGGCUGUCUCUCCACGAAACCUGUUUCCUUUAUAACACACAAACACAAUGUUAAGUCAUUGACUAUAAUAGCAUGCUACAUGACUUAAACAAACUCCAAAAGUCUCUGUCCUAAAUGCAAUCUAUAUGUCCUUCCUCCCUCACCCUCACCAAACCCUAUGAGGUCACCAUUGAUAUUUCCAUUUCAUAGCUGAUACUGUUAAGGCACAGAGAGGCAUUCUGGAACUUCACAGGAUGAAGAACAGCACACUCGGGACUCAAACGUCAUUAGUCUGUCUUCAAAGCCUAAGUUGCUAACAACCUGUGUGUGAGCCUUUGACACACCAUUAGUGAAAGACUCCAGAGGAAGGCUAGAGGAAUAGCAGAUGGUCCAUCAAAUUGAGCCCCGUAAAUGUCUGAGGCAGAAUCUAAGCAUCAGGCAUAAGAGGGACUACUAUAAAAUUCUUUCAAUUUCACUGUACAUUUAAACUUUUACAGUGAGUAGAUGGAAAGAUGGCUCAGCAGUUAGUGCUCUUUGCACUCUUGCAGAGGGUCGGAGUUCAGUUCCCAGCACCCACAUGGCAGCUCAUAGGAAGCUGUAACGUAAUUCUAAUUCCAAGGGGUCUAACACUCUUUUCUGGCCUCUGCAGGCACCCGGCACAUAUGAGGUGCACGUACAUAUAAGCAAAACAUUCAUAUAUAUGAACAUAUAUACACACACACACACAUACAUACAUACAUAUAUACAUACUUCACAUAUACAUUCAUAUAUACAUAUAUGAUAAUUUUAAAAUGAAAUAAUUUCUUUUUUUUUUUUUUGGUUCUUUUUUUUUUUUUUUUUCGGAGCUGGGGACCGAACCCAGGGCCUUGUACUUCCUAGGUAAGCGCUCUACCACUGAGCUAAAUCCCCAGCCCCAUGAAAUAAUUUCUUAAAGUAUGAGUCAACAUUUAAAACAGAAGAGAAACAUUAGAAGAGAGUGGAGAGCUGUAAAUAAGGAACGAAGUCAAUGCAGGCUGAAAGGACCCCUCCCAGACACCAUCCCUCCCCAAGCUCGUCCCAGUUGAACUCUGUAAACACCGAAUCAAGUUACAGGGUACCCCAUCUGGAGGCCAAGACUAGGAAAAAGAAACAAAUGAACUGUCAGAUUGGGUCCUCUGCCAGCCAAGUAAGGGCAAUCCUCUCCCAACACAAGUGUGCAUAGAAAUACCAGGCCAAAGACCUCGAGGGGAACCUGUCUUCUGACACUACACAUGCAAGCAGAUACCUCUGGCUCGAAAAUGGUAAGGAAUGCGGGCGCCUAACUGCGCCUAUCUUUAUGCACUGGCAAGGACCCAAGACAAGUUUAUAGGCUCCAAGUCCCAAGCACCACAGAUGAGGACCUGUCCUUAAAAGCCUGGCAGGCACUGAGACUGCAAAAGUGCAGGAGGGGCCUUACCAGAGGAGCUUGCAAAAGCAAGGGGAGGAAGUGAGAAGGUGAGUCUCCAGUAUCACCCUGCCUUGGAGGAGAAUCCAGGCAGGCUCUCAAAGAGGACUAGCAGUGUUUCUUAGGCACAACUCUGGGGUAAGUGUUCCCCAGACUGAGACAGAGUAGACAUUUGAGGUAAAGCCCUGACCACUUCUAGGCUGAGGGUCAGGAAGAAAUGAGGAAUAGAACAGAAAACAGGGGGAUGGGGCUUUAAGUAUGAUCAGUAAAAGUAAAAGGCACAGCAUGUUUCUGAAAGGUUAGUAAUUUGGCAAAACCUUAGACAGAUACAAAGAGCGCCUACCUUUUGAACCAGCAACUCCACUGCUAGCAUUCUAUUUUAUAAACAGUAUUGCUGUGCACAGUGAUACAAAUUUAAGGAUAUAGAGUCAUCAUAGCAUUGUUUGCAAAACCAAAAGACUGGAAGGAAGUGGCGCUCAUCGGUGGAGAACUGGUUAGGUGCAUUACAUACAGAACGCUGAGACCCAAUAAAGGCCAGAUCAUCAGAGUGAAUACAAUUGGGCUGCAGCAGUGGAAACCAGCGCUCAGUUAGGAACACUUGUUUUUCUUGCAGAGGACCCAGGCACCAAAUGGUGGCUCACAGUAGCCUCCAUUCCAGGGGAUGUAGCCUCCUCUUCUGCCCUCCACAGGCACUAAGCAUGCAGGUGGUAUACACACAAACACAUGAUUUAAAAACACAGGAAGCUGGGGCUGGAGAGAUGGCUCAGCCAUUAAGAGCACUGACUGUUUUUCCAGAGGUUCUGAGUUCAAUUCCCAGCAACCACAUGGGGGCUCACAACCAUCUAUAAUGGGAUCCGAUGCCCUUUUCUGGUAUGUAUGAAGAAAACAACAGUGUACUCACAUAGAUAAGAUAAGUAAAUCUUAAAAAAAAAUACACACACAGGAAGCAUAUUUCUAUGUUAUGUGCAUACAUAUUAUUCUAUACUUACCUGAAGGGAGAGACAGACACAUAUUCGGAUGUGGCUGAACCAGCACCAGAACAAGGAACAGCAACAGGGGUUCCACAGAACAACGAUAUCCUCCGUAAACUUUGGAUUCUUUUACCCUAUACAUGAAGUCCUUUUGAAAAACACGGAGUAAACAUAACUGUUCAUGGAUGCUUCCCUCACUUUGUCUUUUAGCUUCUUCCCCACACCGAAAAGCAUGGCACUCACCCUUCCUGGCUGUUAACUGUCAGGAGCAAAGGGAUUUCUAAAGCUGAGAAUUGCUGACUUCAUGGUGUAUGAUGUGGAAAGCUGUCCUGGAUACCACGGCAUGCCCACCAGCAUCUCUGGCCUCCACUUCCCCUCGGACAACCAAACCCAUCUCUAUGGGUGCCAAGGAGAACAGCAGCCGCUGACUUACAAAGACUAAACUGAUUUCUCAGAUUUUUCAGUACCAAGAAAGGGCUUCUUGACUGACAUUUAGCUUGUUGUUCAAACUUUUCUGUUCACAGCCUGAGCAAAACCUUAUCUCCAGCCUAUGAAGCUGCAGCUAGAAGCCACCAUCUUGUUGUUGUAUGCUACAGGCCUUAGAGGAAGUUCGCACACACCUUCAAAAGAGCUGCCCAAUGCACUAAGUCUCUACAGUUAUUCAUGGCUUCCCCAACAACAGAGUAAUCAAUGAAUAAUAUUACAGCAUGCAUUCAGAUUGCCUAUAUUCUACAAUUACAGAAAUGUCAGCUGCUAUCUAAAGAGAAAGACACAGAAUGUGAAUGCUGAUGAAGUGUUACUUAACAGCCUCAGUAGACUACAGAGCAAAAUUACAGUUGUGAAGAAGCAACAAAAUCCUAUCAUGGUUGGGGGUCACCCCAACAUGAAGAACUGUAUUAAAGAGUUGCAGGAUUAAACAAGGUGAAGAACCGCUGCUCCAGAGCCUUCCUUAAGGGUCGGGUCUAUGGCUUGUGGCCUUGAGUGGAGUUCUGCAUUCAGAAAGCACAUGCUGUAUCUAAUUCAGGAUCCUACUAAGGACCAUCUUAUUUAAAGAGAAACCAGCGUUGUGUUUCAGAAGCACUGCAGACCUCAGCAUCGCCCUUGAAUGAUUUUCUCCUCUCCUAAGUUUCCAGGGGAGGUGGUAAGCAAGCAAACCGUUCUACUGCUCAAGACCUUUGCCCAAAGAGGAAGCAUGAUCUGAACCCAACUCAAACAUGUGUUUUUAUGCAAUGCAAAGGAAUCAAAGAAGAACAAUCACAGAGCACAACUGUUGCCAACUGUGUCAGCCAAAUCAGGCACUUCCUCCAGCCAGAGAUGAAGCUGGAUGCAGCCUGACUUCCUGCAGUGCCCCAUGGUGUGGUUCCUCCUUCAGACCAAGGAACACAGAGUGAGAAUCGUUGAGGCUUUCUCUUUUUCCAUUUAAAUACUUAGUGUUUAUGUGACGGAUCUGUGCUUGAUAGAGGUGCCAUUAUCCACUGACCAGCAGAGAAACAAACUUCCUGCCCUCCCCAAGUUCAAUAUAACUUCCUCUUGGGCACACUCAGCCAUCAUUCCACAUUCCCACAUAUCCCAUCCAACAGAGGAAAAUUCAAGGCGAAGGGGGGAAAGACUUAGCGGGGGAGAAGAAGAAAACCAAAGAGAUGAGAUUGUGUGUGUCUUUAGUUUUUCCAGGCUCAAGGGUCUGAACACAUGGGUCUCUAGCUAGAGGCUGAAAUCCAGUGGAAUCCUUAGGAGGUGGGGCCUGACUGGAGGAAAGAAGUCACUGGGGGCAUGUGCUUUUGGGGGGGGGGGGUGUCUGUUAGCCCCUCUUCCAGUCAGGCAUUCUCUAGGCAUUCCUGGUCCAUCCGCUACAGGAUACCGCCAUUAUAGAGCCACCCGCAAGAUAAGAAAUUACAUCUAUCCUCUCAGAGCAUGAGUCUAAAUAAACCUCUCCUUUCUUAAGUUACUAUGUCAAGUGUUUUGUCACAACAAGAAAAGUACCUAGCCCGUGGUGCUGGGACAUAAAAGGGCAGGGACUUGGAGGUGAGGCUCUCACAGCCCCACUCCUCCAACAGAGCAGUAUACAGAAUCUCUAAGGCUGCCAGCUUCCA